rnacentral:tRNA from 1 species
GAGGGUAGAGCUCAGUGGUAGAGUGUGUGCUUAGCAGGCACAGGGGCCUGGGUUCCAUCCCCCAGCACCUCCA